AAGGAGGCCAGGAAAACUGACAGACAUGGGGUCGAGGUAUUUCAUGUUCAAUAGGUAGAUUUCUCAAUACAAUACAAGAGCCGAGCUAGCGCAAAUAGACCUAGAAACAUCAACCCUCAGCCAUAAAAGUGUGUUUUUCCACCACCAAAUCCAUGAUUGUGACACUGACGGGCUACUCGGGCAGGCAACAGAAGAUGCCAUGGAGCUUCUGCAGGAAAUUGGUUGGAGGGGACACGUGACACUAUCAAAUAAGAAAGAAAAUGGUCAGUGGCUCGUGGCUUUCAGGCGUCAGGGAGGUGGUGUCAUCUCAAAGGGAAUAAUGGCAGGCAGUUUGUGGACCUCGAAUGCAGAAACCUGAUGGUGCAGAGAGUAACCAUACUUCAAGCAAAUAGGUGCACUGAAAUCAUUCGGGAGAUUGGCCUUCACAUGCAAGCCCAUGCAUUCAGCAAGCACCCAAAUCAACCAUCCGAUGACAUCACAAUAACAUUCAAUAUCCUAACUGUGCUGGACUGACAAUGUGACAACGUGGAGUGGUAGAAGCGUAGGAGAGCUGAGAAGAGCUGCAGAUGAGACAGACCAGGUGAUGGAGGCGACUCCAGGAGUGUGCCCUCCGGUUACAAUUUGAGGAUGAGGCGGCCAUAAACGCAAGUCUUUGCUGAAUGACGACGUUGAUAAUGGUGAUCUUAACCAGCAUGACAAACUGCGGUGAUGACAGCCCACCAAACCCUACAUGACAUUCGCUAGUGUGACCCGCUCUCCCAGUGAUCUUUCGGAUAUGAAUGGAGGUGUACAGUCCCCUCGGAGAUCCUCUCCAGCUUCAUCAACUGGUGAAGCUUCUGGAGCCUCAUCAUGGCCCAAUUUCAUGGCGCUGCAUACCGUAAGCAAAGAAACUGCGCUGAGCGGAAGCAGGGAAUUCCGCGCUUACCUCAAGUGUUUUGCACAUUUGAGCAGGAAAUUUUGGCUUGUGUGAGUGCGUACUCCAUGUUACUAGGCAUGCUGUACUUACAUGUUUACAACUAUUGCAUAGAUUCGACACCUGCACGUAAGCGGAAAGUGGUGUUGUAAGUGCAAAUUCGGCAGUAAGCAGAGCCAUGAAGUUGGGCCUUGAUGCACAGAUGACACAACAAGGACAUUAGAAAGCCAUCUCAGAGCUGCUGAAGGACUCUCCUUCAAUCCAAACAAAAUCCCUCAGAGAGAUGGACAUAAACGGACCCCAUCAUUGGACCAGUCAUCAGGUGGGGCUUGCAUCCCUCCGGCCCCCCUCCCCCCUCCUCCUCCACCACCCACUGAGAACAUUCUUCAUAUAGGUCAACCAUGCUCUGUCGGCUCUCAGUAAAGCUAAACAUCAGUUUGUCUUGUGAGCUCAACAAUCUAUCAAUUGAAUAGUUCUGUCAGAUAAAACAAGAAAGGACAGACACUGUUCUUUAUUCCUGUUCUGUACACAUUUUGUUAUUGAUUGUAUAGUUUUUACAUUGCAGAUUGUACAUGAGAGUGAGUGAUCAUAAUAUACUCUAUUACGUGCUAUUUAGCCAACCAGUACCCAUGCAAGUCCAUAAAGUCAAUAAAAGGCAACCUGCGAGGGCGUAUUGUUGCUCUGGCCUAAUUUCAUGGCUCUGCUUACUAUAAAAAAAGAAUCAGCGCUUACAAAGCAGGGAAUUACGGCGCUUAUGUCAAGCGUAUUUCACAGGUUAGCAGGAAAUUUUUGCUUGUGGGCAUGCUUACUCCAUGGUACCUAGCACUUGCACAGUAAGCACAGAAUGUGACGGUAAGCAGAGCCAUGAAAUUAAGCCCGGUUAAUUUUGGGCAUGGAACUCUUUUGGGAGAUGAGCUGAGUUGCAGAUAAUCAGAGCUGAGCAGUAGAUCAGUGCAGCAGGAUGCAAAGUUGCAGAGCAGCUAGCCCACUGGUGGUUGCUGAUAGAGAUGGUUAGUUAGCUGAAUGAGCAGAGACAGAAUAGAUAUCCAGUGACACACACAGCAGGCUACACAGAGCACACAAUAAAUCAAACCGUAUGCUAUUUACUAGAGCAGCGCAGACUCCCUACCCCCUACACAUUUCCACAAUUCAUAAGAUGCACAGUAUACAAAUUGAAUCACUCAAUCUGAUAUUACAUACAAAGUGUACUAAUUGUGAAUAUUGAUGGUUGAAGUUUGCAUCAAUACAUAACCACAAUUCUUCUGUUGAAAUUAAAUAAAACGUUUCAAAGACUGAUUUAUAUUGCUGUUUUAGUUGUCAGAUAAUAAGUAGACUGGCUCCUUGAUCUUCCCCAAACUCUCCUUUAUUGACUCCAAGAUCAUCAUGACCUAUCUGCCAACUGUUCAGACUUGAUUGGAAUUGCCAGAUUUUUAAGAUUACAGAUUACAGGCUGCAAAAAAUCAGAACAUUCCUACUUCUGAAAAGAAACCACUGUGAACAAUUUCUGGCAAAAGUGUGUUCCAUUUGUUUGUGACAGCAGAGAUUUUCUUACAGAGAUUUGAGCACAUUGUAUUGGUGUACAUAAUUUGUUAUGAAUGUAAUAAGCUUUACUGCAUAACCUUUUGUGUUUCUAUCUGAGAACUUUAAAAACUGGUGUUCCUAUUGUUGAGGUUUCACGGUUGGCAGGUAUGGAUUAUGCCCCUUUUAGUUUCCAUGUUUAUAUCAUCAGCCUCUGUGGGUAAAUGCUCUCCCAUAGACAAAACCCCAAACACCAAGUCCACCCUCCCCCAAAACACUAAGCCCACCACACCCCUCCCCUCUACUCCCAUCAGCGAUGAAACAUUGGCGUUAACAAUCCUGUUCCUAAUCAGCGGAUGCAGAUCAACUACUUCCGGGUCCCAUCUAUCCCUACAGCUUAAUCAACCCAGUCUAAUCUUAUAUUAUUCUUAACUGUAAAGGUGUAUUCUAAAAUAAAUGAACCCUAAAUCUUGAAAACAUCAGAAUAAAUGUGUACUGCACACCUCUG